CGGACGGGUGAGUAAUGUCUGGGAAACUGCCCGAUGGAGGGGGAUAACUACUGGAAACGGUAGCUAAUACCGCAUAACGUCGCAAGACCAAAGAGGGGGACCUUCGGGCCUCUUGCCAUCGGAUGUGCCCAGAUGGGAUUAGCUAGUAGGCGGGGUAAUGGCUCACCUAGGCGACGAUCCCUAGCUGGUCUGAGAGGAUGACCAGCCACACUGGGACUGAGACACGGUCCAG
rnacentral:rRNA from 1 species